UAUCUUGGUCAUUUUGUUAUGCAAAUCAAAUACUCGGAUACCGGUGGAUUCUUGUUCGCUUCGCCCACCGACUCGGCUCCUCCUCCUCGCUUCAUUCGCGCCGAUGGGCGGAAACCCCUCGAGACCACCAAAUACUCUCCUCUUCGACGUGAAUCGCUACCGAUUGCUGCACAUAUCCGGCGCCGCUCGUCUCCCAUCCCCUCCUGGUGACCCUCGCAGCGGCCGAGCGGGAUCUACCGUCUUCUUGAAUGGUUGUCGUUGGUUCUUUGCUUGUUGAUCGUGUUCGGCUUGUCGAUUCUUGCUGUUCUUGCGUGGAUGAUUCGGUCAGGGAUGUGUUACCCGGGUCUGCUUCCUUCUGACCUAGUGGGUUUUGGCUCCCGAGUGGUGGAAAGCUGCCAAGAACCUGGCUAUGGAGUUCUGGCGGGUGGCGCCAGCUCGAAGUGGCGGAUGGGUGCCGCUAUGGCGUUCAAGAUUGUCAAUGGAGAUGUAGUUUCAGGUCCUUUUCGUGGAUGUUGGAAGAGUAAUGGUCCAGAUGAUGUUGCAUCAUUUCUGGCGCCGCUUGUUCCUGACGUUUGGAUGAUGGAUUUCGAGUGGAAUGACUGCUGAUUUAGAUGACUAGGUCAAAGGCGUCAGUUCGGAUCUUCUUGAUGGUUCUUCUUAUCCAACUGGAGAUAAGUCCUUAUUUCGUGGAUCUGGGGGAGAAUAGUUGGUACGCCCCUUGGAUUGCUUUCCCGACCAUGAAGAAUGCUCACAAGAACGGUGUUUUGCAUGUUUAUGAGCGUCAUAGAAAUGAUCCCCGACACUUUGCCUAUGGUUUCAAAAACCUGCGCGAGUCUACUUCAAUUUCCUUUGUUUUUUAGCUGAGAUAGUUUAGGGUUCAUCAUCCGAACAUCUGGUGUUGCAGAUACUUGGUGUUACAGGAUGGAGCUUUAGUAGGUAUUUGAUGUUCCUUUCUAAACAAAGUUUUGAGUAUGAAUUUCUUUUCUUUCCACAGUCCUUUUGGUCAUGUGCUUCAUGCAGAAGCAAUGAGUGAUAGAUUGCAGCACUAUCUGGACAGACAAACCAAUCUGUGCAUCUUGUUUGCCAUAUGGAUGUGCUUCGCAGCAGCCAUGGAUUGCCUUUUGUCUGAUGACAAAUAGUUCCAGUGGAUAGAUGAGAUUGUGGUCUUAUACAGAAGGAAAGGUUCUCAAAGUUAUUUCGAAAUGUGGGGUUCCACAUGAGGUAGGAUGGCACAGUUGUUCUUCCUUCUGAACUAGAAUUUCAUGGGAUGCCAAAAUGUUUGGAUCUAAGUGGUUCAGUUCUGUGGAUGCUGAGGCUCUGAGCACUGCAGUGGAAUGGAGGGAGAUGGUUCCUAUAGUCUCUUUAAGAAAUGACAGAGCAGACCUACCUAGUUUGGUUGAUCUUAGUGAGGUUACAGGGAGUUCAAUGUUUUUCAAUGUCAGAUACAAGGCUCACAGGACAUUGUGCCCAAUAUUCCUCCUGAAAUAUGAAAUGCAAACUAUCAAUAGCGAUAAAUAUAUCUGCCAGUUCAGCGAUCAAGAUUCCACGCCCAGACUUAGUAUGUGCCAGCUCUAAUAAUUAACAUGGUUCAGGCAUAAUUUCAUCAGCUGGAUCAUUUAUUAGUUGGCUAUCACAAAUGAGUAAAGCAUACAAAUGCUCUAAUAAUUAAGAUUGGCUUUGCUGCCCCUUUUUUCCCAUAAAGUGGGAUAUUAGGUGUUUCCCUCCCGGAGGCAUGGAGGAGACUUGAGUCGUGCUUUGGUCGAUGACUUGUACUGGGUUUGACCUCUGCAGAGUAGCUCUCAUUGCUGAACUCACUACUUCAUAAGAGGCAGGAAUGGGGUAAAAACCAUGCCAUCUCAAUGCAAAUCCUGUUUUUCUUGCCUCCUGAUUUUUCGUCUGGCCGUUGCUUGCUCCAGUUGGUCUUCACUACAUGUACAAUUUGACCAUAAUUUCCCUGAACCAUCAACUAGUUUCUCAUGCUUCUGCCUUUAUUUUUUCUCAUGUAGGUUCAGUCUAGGAAAACCCUGAUGGUUCCUUCUGUCAUUCUCUUCCCCCACCAGGAAGCUAUGAUAUGGUGCAUAUUUAAGUUUUGAUGGUGAAUGCUGUGUAUAACAUGUAAGAAGAUGCAGGGGGGAAAAGCUCCAAUAUCAUUUAAUGAUUUCUG